UACGGAGGAUGCGAGCGUUAUCCGGAUUUAUUGGGUUUAAAGGGUGCGUAGGCGGGCUUUUAAGUCAGCGGUAAAAAUUCGGGGCUCAACCCCGUCCGGCCGUUGAAACUGGGGGCCUUGAGUGGGCGAGAAGAAGGCGGAAUGCGUGGUGUAGCGGUGAAAUGCAUAGACAUCACGCAGAACCCCGAUUGCGAAGGCAGCCUUCCGGCGCCCUACUGACGCUGAGGCACGAAAGUGCGGGGAUCGAACAGG
rnacentral:rRNA from 1 species